rnacentral:rRNA from 1 species
GUGUCAGCAGCCGCGGUAAUACGUAGGUGACAAGCGUUAUCCGGAAUUACUGGGCGUAAAGCGCACGCAGGCGGCUGCGUAAGUCUGACGUGAAAUCUCUCGGCUUAACCGGGAGCGGUCGUUGGAAACUAUGCGGCUUGAGGCGAUGAGAGGGGUGUGGAAUUCCCGGUGUAGUGGUGGAAUGCGUAGAUAUCGGGAGGAACAUCAGUGGCGAAAGCGGCACCCUGGCAUUAGCCUGACGCUCAGGUGCGAAAGCGUGGGGAGCGAACGGGAUUAGAUACCCUUGUAGUCC